GACUGCCUACCCCCAACACCUCCGAAACCUCGUGAGCUGACCCUUCCAGAAGCCCUGAAUGACGGACUCUUCCAGGAGCAGGCUCCACAUCUGGUGGUGGGGACACAGCAGUGAGAAAGACACUCCUCCAACAGGACCCCUGCUCCGCGGUGCUCAGCAAGGAGCGGAAUAGUUAAGGUUCAGACUUUGGUUCUGCAUCUCAACCUCUCUGUGCCACAGGAUGACAGUAUUACCACUUUAUACGUCUUUCUAGGGAUUAAAUAAAAUGGUGUGAUUAGGGAUGUUA